ensembl:snRNA U4 U4 spliceosomal RNA
AGCUUUGCAAAGUGGCAGUAUCAUAGCCAAUGAGGUUUAUCCGAGGCGUGAUUAUUGCUAAUUGAAAACUAAAUGGAUGUCAGUAUCCAUGCCUCAAACAAAAUAAACUAGGGAAUAUUGUUCUAGGUCCUAUAAUGCCAAAAAGAGAGGA